CAUUUCAACCCUCGAGCUCCCCUUACGGGGGGAGCCCGGCGUUGGGGACCCGGCGCUAACAACGCCGGCCCCGAAAUGGAGUGGCGGCCCGUCCGCGGCGACCACUGCGUAGUAACAACCACUCGCACCGGGACCCGGGCGCGGCCACGCCGUAAAACACCCCACCUUCCGAAUGUUGACCUCGAAUCAGGUAGGAAUACUGAAUGAACUUAA
rnacentral:sRNA from 1 species